AUUGAACGCUGGCGGCAGGCCUAACACAUGCAAGUCGAACGAGUGGCGGACGGGUGAGUAAUGUCUGGGAAACUGCCCGAUGGAGGGGGAUAACUACCGGAAACGGUAGCUAAUACCGCAUACCAUCUGAUGUGCCCAGAUGGGAUUAGUUAGUGGGUGGGGUAAAGGACCACCUAGGCGACGAUCCCUAGCUGGUCUGAGAGGAUGACCAGCCACACUGGAACGGAGACACGGUCCAGACUCAUACGGGAGGCAGCAGAGGGGAAAAUUGCACAAGGGGCGCGAGCCUGGUGCAGCCAUGCCGCGUGUAUGAAGAAGGGCUUCGGGUUGUAAAGUACUUUCUGCGGGGAGGCGUUACCAGCAGAAGAAGCACCGGCUAACUCCGUGCCAGCAGCCGCGGUAAUUC
rnacentral:rRNA from 1 species